UCGCGACCCCAGGUCAGGCGGGACUACCCGCUGA
rnacentral:rRNA from 1 species